GCCGUCGUGCAAUGUGGUGUUUGGGAGGGCUCUGUCCGUGUCCGGCGUCGGUCCAAGUCUCCUGGAAAGGAGUUCCGUGGAGGGUGACAGGCCCGUGCGACCGAUCGCCGCGCUCGCGGACGAGUCCUCCUUCGAGUCGGGUUGCUCGCUAAUGCAGCCCUAAGCAGGUGGUAAGCUCCAUCUAAAGCUAAAUAUAACCACGAGUCCGAUAGUCAACAAGUACAGUGAUGAAAGUUGAAAAGUACUCUGAAGAGAGAGUCAAAUAGCCCGUGAAGCUGCCAGUAUGGGAUUAAGCGCACGUGUGACGCGUGUCGUCGGACAAAUAGGCGCACGUCGGCUGUCGCACGGCGCAUGUCGGCAUCGGAAACGGUGUCGGUGUGUGUCGCCCGCGGCGGUCGGCGUCGCGCUUCCCUUUGUUCGGCAUCGACAGGUCGGGGCUUCGUUGUCCGGUCUUAUUGCCGGUCGCUAUAGCAGAGCCGUGUCGGGCCGGCGGCCACUUCGGUGGCUGCCGGUGCUCCGCGGAAUUGGCACUUCGGUGGCCGCGGCCGGCCUGGUCUGCUUGUGAUGUGACCGAUUGGCGAACGACUGGGCGACGGCCAGCGCAAAUCGACUCGCAAGAGUCGGCUCGGCCUUUGCGUCGUCACGUGCGGCCCGUCUUGAAACACGGACCAAGGAGUCUAACAUGUGAGCGAGCGAUUGAGAUUGUCGAAUCUCAGACGCGCAAUGAAAGUGAAGUGUCGUCUGACGGCACGAGCGGAGAUCGGUCAUCACUCGUGGUGGCCGCGCACCCGCGGGCCGCGCCAUCGGCUGGCUUGCUUUUCGGAGCACUGCUGAGGCGCGGACCUAGAGCCCAC
rnacentral:rRNA from 1 species